CACCACCCUAGGUCACAACUCUUCCUCUCCAAGACCUGGUCCUCCUUUCAACAGUGAAGGUUGGUGACAGCUGCCUCUUAUGCUAACGGUGUGUGCAAGGAACAGUGGCACUCCCUAUGGACAAGCAGCACCGGGGCGGCGGCUACACGUGGGAGAACAUGCUGGAAACAACACAUUCCCAGGCUCCACUCCCAGCUUCCUGCUGCAGCAACUCUGGAGGACAAGGAAGCAGCCUGAGUGGCAGAGGCUGUGAGGGAGGCUGCUGUGGGAUGUCAGACUGUGUUAACUACAGCUUUACGGGGUUGGGGAUUUAGCUCAGUGGUAGAGCGCUUGCCUAGCAAGCGCAAGGCCCUGGGUUCGGUCCCCAGCUCCGAAAAAAAAAAGAAAAAGAAAAAAAAAAAAAAAAACUACAGCUUUACACUCUGACUUUCCGUCCUGGAUGAAUUAAUUUCAAA
rnacentral:sRNA from 1 species